rnacentral:rRNA from 1 species
UGAAGGCUUGACCUCAAAUCAGGUAGGACUACCC